rnacentral:rRNA from 1 species
CCAGACUCCUACGGGAGGCAGCAGUGGGGAAUUUUGGACAAUGGGGGCAACCCUGAUCCAGCAAUGCCGCGUGAGUGAAGAAGGCCUUCGGGUUGUAAAGCUCUUUUGUCAGGGAAGAAACGAUCCUCUCUAAUACAGGGGAUUAAUGACGGUACCUGAAGAAUAAGCACCGGCUAACUACGUGCCAGCAGCCGCGGUAAUACGUAGGGUGCAAGCGUUAAUCGGAAUUACUGGGCGUAAAGCGUGCGCAGGCGGUUUUGUAAGACUGU